AUGGCCUGGACUCCUCUGCUCCUCGCGCUCCUCUCUCUCUGCACAGGGUCCCUCUCCCAGCCUGUGCUGACCCAGCCGCCCUCCCUCUCUGCCUCUCCGGGAGCCACAGCCAGACUCACCUGCACCCUGAACAGUGGCUUCAGUGUUGGCAGCUAUGGUAUAUACUGGUACCAGCAGAAGCCAGGGAGCCCUCCCCGGUUUCUCCUGUACCAAGGCUCAAGUACAAGUUUGGGCUCCGGGGUCCCCAGCCGCUUCUCUGGAUCCAAAGACGCCUCGGCCAAUGCGGGGCUCCUGCUCAUCUCGGGGCUGCAGCCUGAGGACGAGGCUGACUAUUACUGUAUGAUCGGUUACAGUAGUGCUUCCCACAGUGACACACACAGAUGGGGAAGGUCCAGGUCUCAGGCUGUGGUCACUCAGGAGCCCUCAGUGAGCCUGUCCCCAGGCCGAACGGUCACUCUCACCUGUGGCUCCAGCACAGGGGCUGUCACCAAUGGUCACUAUCUACAUUGGAUCCAGCAGAAGUCUGGCCAGGCCCCCAGGGCUCUGAUUUAUGAAACAACCAAGAAAUUCUCCUGGACCCCGGCCCGGUUCUCAGCCACCAUCCAAGGGGGCAAAGCUGCCCUGACCCUCACAGGGGCGCAGCCUGAGGAUGAGGCCGAGUACUACUGCGCUCUGUGGUUCAGCAGCCAUCCCCACAGUGACAGGGAGCUGGGAUCACAGUGA